CCGAAACUCCUUGUCCUGCUACUGGGCAGACUGAACCCCGGAGGGACAACAGGUUCACUCUCUCUGACGCAACCCGAGUCGUCUGUCUCCGGUACACCCGUCUGCUGACCUUUGGUAUCUUCAUUCGCACUGCAGAUGACCCGGUGCUCGACUUGCUCGAGUGUUUCUUGGGCUGCAGAGAUACGUAAACAAAUUCAGGAAGUACCUUUCUCAGGAAGCGGCCCCGCUCCAGGUCAACACGGCAUCGAGAGCAACGAAAAUCGGAAGGGGGAUUCGAGUAACAGCAAGCGUUAGGAACCACCUGGAGAGAACAAUGGGAGUGAAAGCUUCAGCGUAAAUGUCUGGGUACUGAAGUGUUUUCAUUUUCCCCUGCCGUGAUGUACUCAGACAAUAGAAUGCCACUCGCCCCGAAUGCAACGCGUCAGCACGCAUGACCCCCCGCCUGAGCAAGGAACCAGGCCGUUGUGGGUGGGCGGCAAAACUAGCAAAUCCGGUACUGCAUCUGUGUCUACUCACUCCCGAUGACCCUUUCCUCAAACUAACAAGCCGUGACAAAUCGUGCACAGAUCCGAAUGGCUCUCCACCUGCACUGUGACAGCGAUAGGCGGUGCGGUCGUUAACCUGAUAUCGUGUGCUAGUUUUUGGCGAAUAUGGGUCCGGGAGUCCAUUCCUACCCAGCCGAUGAAGGUCAGGAGAGCUUCCAAGUUCGUUUCCACGAGGGGAUGAGUCGCCACCAAUGCGGUUGUUGUUUAGCUCGACUUCUCGAGCAGGAAAAUUUUGGAUUCCGUCGUGGUCCUCUUUAGCGGAUUUGACUGCUUCCGGUGAAACGCGAAGAACUGCGGUGCUGGUGUCAUCCGCCUCACCUGAAACAGGCAAUGCACAAAGGGAUCGACAGCAGAGGCAAGACUGCCAACUAAUCCUACUGGAGAACUGGAGAAAGCCUCUUUAACUCACUUGUGUUUGCCUGACAUUCGACUCAGGAUAGUCCUUUAUCGAGCUCAUCUUCGACCGAGGUUUCGUCCUGUUCAUGCCACGGGUUACUUCUAGUUUGUGAUUUAUUGAUCGGCUAGAAUCCAACCGUACGUAAUAACCAUCUAGAUCUACCUAUACAUACUUUGCUUGUAUAUACAUAUAAGCAUGUCUGUUGUCUCGUUAAACUUCGCGGCACGGGCAACUGUC
rnacentral:lncRNA from 1 species